rnacentral:lncRNA from 1 species
CAUCGGCUCUGACGUCGCUCCAUCCUCACCGACACCUAGUCCUCUUCCAGCUAAUUUCUUCUCGAUGGCACUCUCCUUCAGAGUGGUGGCGACCUCGAUGGCUUCACAAGCUUUGCACUAUCUCUCCUUGCUCCUUCGACAACUGCGGCCCCUAUGACCAUGUCACGCAUUCGACUCGAGAUUGUGAGCUGAAGGUCAUAGCAACCGCCGCAUAUUCAUAGAAAAUUCUCUUCACA